rnacentral:rRNA from 1 species
GUGCCAGCAGCCGCGGUAAUACGUAGGUGGCAAGCGUUAUCCGGAAUUAUUGGGCGUAAAGCGCGCGUAGGCGGUUUUUUAAGUCUGAUGUGAAAGCCCACGGCUCAACCGUGGAGGGUCAUUGGAAACUGGAAAACUUGAGUGCAGAAGAGGAAAGUGGAAUCCCAUGUGUAGCGGUGAAAUGCGCAGAGAUAUGGAGGAACACCAGUGGCGAAGGCGACUUUCUGGUCUGUAACUGACGCUGAUGUGCGAAAGCGUGGGGAUCAAACAGGAUUAGAU